ensembl:lncRNA
UGUGUGUGUGUGUGUGUGUGUUUGUGUGUGUGUGUGUGUGUGUGUUUGUCUCUACCUCAAUGUGUGUGUGUGUGUGUGUUUUAAGAUGCUAGACAGAAGUGGAAGGAAGAGGAGAGUGACAAGAUAACAAGAUAAGGAGACACUAUCAAAGAGAUAACAGUACGAAACAAAAAGCUAGCCUACCAACAGCCCAAAAACAGAGACGGAUAAGUUAGACAACAGAGAGAAAAUGCAUGGAAAGAAGGGGGAAAAGAUAGGAAGGGCUGCUCGUUUUCCAGCUCUUGGCUCCACAUGUUCCUAGACUGUAGCGGCCGCGGCAUCUGGAACAUUCUCUACAUUUUGUUCUCAUCUGGAGGGGAAGAUUUUGAGAGGGCCACGCUCUCAUAUCCUGUUCUCGCCAACGCCGACACCGCCCUUGAAGUCAGAUUUAUGGCGUGCUGAGGGUCAGGCGCUGGGAUGUAGUGUGUGUGUGGGUGUGGACGUGUUUAACAGAAGUCCCCACAAGAAUUGUAAACAACAAAAAUGUGACCAACUGUGGAUAUUUUGUUUGUCCCCACAAGUUCAAAUGCUAUUUCUAAGGGGUUUAUGAUUAAGGUUAGAAUUAGUGUUAGGGUUAGAAUUACGUUAAGGCUUACGGUUAGGAGCUGAGGUUAGUUUUAGGGUUAGAGUUAAGGUUCGGUUUUUGGGUUAAGGUUAGGGUUAGGGUUUCAUUUAGGGAUUAGGGAAAAUAGAACUUUGAAUGGAACUGAAUUGUGUAUCCCCACAAGGUUAGCUGUACAAGAUUGUGUGUGCAUGUGUGUGUGUGCAUGUGGGUGUGUGUGACACAGAGAGAGAGAAAGAGAAAGAGAGGACAGAGAAAAGGAGAACAGAGGGAGAGAGAAAGGAAACUCAUCAUUCAUUGGCAGCGCCUCCAGACUCAUUAAUAAACAGAAACACAUGUCAGAACACUGGGCUCUGCUCCAGAGAACACACACACACACAACAGUCUGGAACAAAGCCACACUUCUCCUUUUACUAGCAUGUCAGGAGGCUGUUUUUGUCAUGCUGUUUGUUGUCUGUCCUUACCUUGUUCUCCCUCCCUCCUUCUUUCCCUUUCAUCCAUCAUUCUAUCCUCUUAAACUUCCCUCCAUCUAUCCACUUGACCUUCCCUCCAUCUAUCCUCUUGACCUUCCCUCCAUCUAUCCUCCUAACCUUCCCUCAAUCUAUCCUCUUGAUCGUCCCUCCAUCUAUCCUAUUGACC